rnacentral:misc_RNA from 1 species
UGCAUUCCGGAACGAAGGCAGGCUCUCACGGUGAGCCUGAGGCGUGUUAUCUUCCCUGUGGUACGCUUUCGGACGCCGUCGAUGUCUCUCGCAGCAGAGCAAACAGAGGCAGGCGCCCCUGCACGCAAGGCAUCGAAGGUGGAGCCGCCGACGCGCAACCCGGAUCCACACUUCUGCAGCUACUAUGUGACGCGCAAGCACAGAUUCUGCCGCACCGAGUGCAGGCCUGGAUCGCUAUACUGCUGCACACACGACAUCGCGGAGACAGGUGCAUCUCCCUCCACUACACCACAAGCAGAGAAAGAUGCGACAUCAUCACCGUCGGACGUUGCUGGCUUCAGGGGGGAUAUGCGAGUCCCUUGCCCCAUCAACUCCAAUCACACCGUCUACGCGUCGCGGCUUGAGAGACACGUUAAGGUGUGUCCGGACCUGCGCUACGUGACACACCAGCUGCCCUACUUUAGCAAUGACAAACACGCGAAUCGCGGAGCCGUGUUUGUUUCGAGUGCGUGCAAUGCACCUCCAGGAGGGGAGAGCCAGCGGUGCACCCAUCGCGAUUUCUCUGCAGAGGGUCUGGCAGCUCUUAUUCGCAAGGUGCAUGAAUGCUACGACUCAUGUAUCGCCCCUGACUUAGUCGUCUUGCGGCAACCGUCUAGGGACCGUGAUGCAGCUUCAGGAGAGGUGGGUGACACGACGACGUCGCAGGCUACGACGUCCUGUCGCGGUUCUGCGCCCGUAGCCUGUGAAGAGAUUGCGUCGCUGAAGCACGGGCCGCAGUACAUGGGGCUAAUUCGCUGCCUAAGCGAUGUGGUUCGGCAGGCUCAGGACACCGACUCGAUCCUCGUGGGCCGCUGCAGCAGCCACUGCGCACCAAUUCACGUAGAUGGUUUCUUGGAGUUCGGCGCCGGCAAGGGUGGCCUCUCCGCGGCGUUGCAGCAGCUCAUUGUUCAGCGCCUCCAAGGCAUUGACUGCACCACCACCUCUGUCGGUGAAGACGCGGAGGCAGGGACGGUUCCUCCGAGCCAGCGUGAAGCAACCGCGGAGACUUCACCCUUGACGCCAUCAACACCGCAGUCGUCGUGGAGGUCGGGCUUUCUUGCGGAGGUAGCACAGCGGCCGCCGCUCGUGGUACUCGAUAUGAACGGCUUCCGGCGUAAGAGCGACGCGCGGGUGCGGCACUCUGCUGUUCCUUUGCAGCGCCUUCGCAUCAACAUCAAGGACGUGGACUUGACUCGAGCUUUUCUCUCUGAGAUUCGCCCAGUGCCGAGCGGGGAGGGGGAGACGGCUGCAGCUGCGGUGCCGAGUGCCAUCCCGCGACCCUUGGAGAACUGGGCUGUGCUCGGCAAACACCUUUGCGGCGCUUGCACAGACUUCGCGUUGUCCUGCCUCACAGAAAGCCCCUUACUCACAUCGCAGGCGCAGGUGCGGCUGCCCAUUGUGGUGAUAGCGACCUGCUGCCACCACCGGUGCGAGCUCAAACAUGUGAACCCACCCGAGCGAGUGGAAGUGUCACCUGCGCCGCUUGUGCUACCCGGCACCUCCUUCACCUGGUCCGAGCAGGAGUUUGCGGCGCUGGCCAGCAUGUCCUCGUGGGCAGUGUGCGGCGACUUUGUCGACGAGGAGAGGCGCGCGGUGGGGCGUAAAUGCAAGCGCAUCAUUGACCAGCUUCGCGUGCACUUUCUGCGUUACCUCGGCUACGUGGCUUUCCAAUGCCAGUACACGACACGCGACGUGACGGAGGAGAAUGUCUGUAUUGUAGCCUUUCACGCUUCAUGAGGGAGGAGUGGAAGGGGGCAGAGGUCGACGUGUUUGUCGCGUCUGGCUAACGGUAGCGUCUGGGCGUGCGUGUUGGCGUGUGCGACCGUCUUCCCCAUCGAACGCCGACUCGGCUAUGUUUUCUUCCGGUUUUGUUUACCGCCGCUGCUGGGGCACGGUGAGCGAAAGACGAGACGGAGCUGUCCACCGUCCACAUCGCCUCUUUCGGCACCGCUCUUGACGCCCUAAUGGAGAAGCCG